GUCCCCAUCAGUUCCGAGUUGAUGUGUGGAAGAACCAUAAAAGUAAGAAGAGAGCCUGAAGGACACGACUUGGACUCACUUUUCCAAGAGCCCUUCACCCAGAAGAAGGCAGAAUUGCCUUUUCAGUCCUGCUUACACGAGCAUCCAAGCUGCGUCCUCCUGCAGCUCUGCAAGGAAUCACACCAAAAUCACGGGGAAGCACGAUGAGUCACACGCGGGGUGCAAAGUCAGUUGCUGGAUACAAAGGAACAGGGUGCAGAAAUGGGUUGCAAUUACUUCUGGUUCACAAUAGUGGAGGAUGCACAUCAAGGCACCUGAGUGCCUCCAGCCCAAAGUGCCUGAGACGAGCACAUGAGUGGGAUGGGAGUCAGCCCUGAAAUGAGGGGCGACAAAUGUUGCAAGAACACGACGAGCGUGAGAGCAGCCAUAUGGGAUCAGACCAAUGGUCUGCCUACAACAUGGCCAGAAGCGACGUCUGGAAUAUGGGAACCUUCUCCCCUGGUGCUCUUCCAGUGCUUGGGAGUCAUGGGCAAGCAUGUCCAAAGACUACACAAGCCCACCCUGGCUCCUGGGGUUUGCUGACUCUGAGGUCUGUUGCAGCAUCCAUGUUGCAUCGCCACUUGAACCAGGCGCCGAGGCUUAUGGAGAUGAAGUCAGUCGCAGAGGUGACCUGGGGACACGUGAAUCACCUCGAAGCAGCCCUGGACUUUUGCCUCAUGUCUAUACCAGGCCUUAUCGCCACCUGCUUGCUUCCUCUUUCUCCUGUACCUGCAGGGACACAAAGCAGCCUCUGGAAGGCCUGGGCAAGGGGAAAUGUGUUUCCAGAGAAAGAUGAGGUUUGCUCAGUUCCCAUAAGGCUGCUGGACACAAGGCUGUGUUACAGCUAGUCGAAACAACUGUAGGCCCAGAGGAAUUACAUUGUUUUCUUCCCAAAUAAGUCAAUACCAGACCAAAAUAUUAACAUUUUCCAGAAUAGCUAUCUUUCUCCUAAAAACAUGCCUCUGAAAAGACCUCAUUUUGGUAUUUCAAGUCCAAAGGAAAUAUUUUCAAGUUGCUGAAUUUAAUAAAUUUUCUUAUUUUGUUUUCA
rnacentral:lncRNA from 1 species